GACACGGUCCAAACUCCUACGGGAGGCAGCAGUGAGGAAUAUUGGUCAAUGGGCGAGAGCCUGAACCAGCCAAGUAGCGUGAAGGAUGACUGCCCUAUGGGUUGUAAACUUCUUUUAUAAAGGAAUAAAGUCGGGUAUGGAUACCCGUUUGCAUGUACUUUAUGAAUAAGGAUCGGCUAACUCCGUGCCAGCAGCCGCGGUAAUACGGAGGAUCCGAGCGUUAUCCGGAUUUAUUGGGUUUAAAGGGAGCGUAGAUGGAUGUUUAAGUCAGUUGUGAAAGUUUGCGGCUCAACCGUAAAAUUGCAGUUGAUACUGGAUAUCUUGAGUGCAGUUGAGGCAGGCGGAAUUCGUGGUGUAGCGGUGAAAUGCUUAGAUAUCACGAAGAACUCCGAUUGCGAAGGCAGCCUGCUAAGCUGCAACUGACAUUGAGGCUCGAAAGUGUGGGUAUCAAACAGGAUUAGAUACCCUGGUAGUCCACACGGUAAACGAUGAAUACUCGCUGUUUGCGAUAUACUGCAAGCGGCCAAGCGAAAGCGUUAAGUAUUCCACCUGGGGAGUACGCCGGCAACGGUGAAACUCAAAGGAAUUGACGGGGGCCCGCACAAGCGGAGGAACAUGUGGUUUAAUUCGAUGAUACGCGAGGAACCUUACCCGGGCUUAAAUUGCAGAUGAAUUACGGUGAAAGCCGUAAGCCGCAAGGCAUCUGUGAAGGUGCUGCAUGGUUGUCGUCAGCUCGUGCCGUGAGGUGUCGGCUUAAGUGCCAUAACGAGCGCAACCCUUGUUGUCAGUUACUAACAGGUUCUGCUGAGGACUCUGACAAGACUGCCAUCGUAAGAUGUGAGGAAGGUGGGGAUGACGUCAAAUCAGCACGGCCCUUACGUCCGGGGCUACACACGUGUUACAAUGGGGGGUACAGAGGGCCGCUACCACGCGAGUGGAUGCCAAUCCCCAAAACCUCUCUCAGUUCGGACUGGAGUCUGCAACCCGACUCCACGAAGCUGGAUUCGCUAGUAAUCGCGCAUCAGCCACGGCGCGGUGAAUACGUUCCCGGGCCUUGUACACACCGCCCGUCAAGCCAUGGGAGCCGGGGGUACCUGAAGUGCGUAACCGCGAGGAGCGCCCUAGGGUAAAACUGGUGACUGGGGCUAAGUCGUAACAAGGUAGCCGUACCGGAAGGUGCGGCUG
rnacentral:rRNA from 1 species